GAUGAACGCUGGCGGCGUGCCUAAUACAUGCAAGUCGAGCGAACAGACGAGGAGCUUGCUCCUCUGACGUUAGCGGCGGACGGGUGAGUAACACGUGCAUAACCUACCUAUAAGACUGGGAUAACUUCGGGAAACCGGCUCCAAUACCAGAUAAUAUAUUGAACCGCUUGGUUCAAUAGUGAAUGACGGUUUGGCUGGCUCUUAUAGAUGGAUCCGCGCCGCAUUAGCUAGUUGGUAAGGUAACGGCAUACCAAGGCAACGAUGCGUAGCCGAACUGAGAGGGUGAUCGGCCAGACUGGAACUGAGACACGGCCCAGACUCCUACGGGAGGCAGCAGUAGGGAAUCUUACGCAAUGGGCGAAAGCCUGACGGAGCAACGCCGCGUGAGUGAUGAAGGUCUUCGGAUCGGAAAGCUCUGUUGUUAGGAAAGAACAAAUGUGUAAUUAACUAUGCACGUAUUGACGGUACCUAAUCAAAAAGCCACGGCUAACUACGUG
rnacentral:rRNA from 1 species